CAGCAGCCGCGGGAACACGUAGGGCGCAAGCGUUGUCCGGAAUUAUUGGGCGUAAAGAGCUCGUAGGCGGUCUGUCGCGUCUGGUGUGAAAUCCCGAGGCUCAACCUCGGGCUUGCAUCGGGUACGGGCAGACUAGAGUGCGGUAGGGGAGACUGGAAUUCCUGGUGUAGCGGUGGAAUGCGCAGAUAUCAGGAGGAACACCGAUGGCGAAGGCAGGUCUCUGGGCCGCAACUGACGCUGAGGAGCGAAAGCAUGGGGAGCGAACAGGAUUAGAUACCCCGGUAGUCCCUGUCUCUUAUAC
rnacentral:rRNA from 1 species